UGUGGCUAGCUGCAGCAGCCCUUCUCUCAAAACUUUUCAGUUUCCGGCCACCCCACAAGCAAAACCUUCCACCAGGCCCCAAACCAUGGCCGAUCAUCGGCAACCUAAAUCUCAUUGGCCAUCUCCCCCACCUGUCCCUCCACAAACUGUCCCAAAAAUAUGGACAAAUAAUGCAGCUUCAAUUCGGGUCUUUCCCAGUUGUAGUGGCCUCGUCUCCUGAAAUGGCAAAGCAGUUCUUAAAGACAAACGAUCACCUCUUUGCCUCUAGGCCUCAGACUGCUGCUGGCAAGUACACUGCUUAUAACUACUCCAACAUCACCUGGGCACCUUACGGUCCAUACUGGCGCCAGGGGCGUAAAAUCUACCACACAGAGCUGUUCAGUUGGAAAAGGCUCGAGUCUUAUGAAUAUAUUCAGGUCGAAGAAAGGCGGGCUUUCAUCUCCCGUCUCUAUGCAUUGUCAGGAAAGCCAGUCAUGCUUAAAGAACAUCUCUCUCGCGUUACUCUCAGCGUUAUAAGUAGAAUUGUACUGGGGGAGAAGUACUUCAAUGAGUCUGAAUCCGGGAGGUCAAUAGUCACGGUGAAAGAGUUCCAGGAGAUGCUGGAUGAGUUGUUCUUGCUUAAUGGUGUGUUGAAUAUUGGGGAUUGGAUACCGUGGAUUGCGUUCUUGGACUUGCAGGGGUAUGUGAAGAGGAUGAAGGUUUUGCGUGAUAAAUUUGACCGGUUUCAUGAUCAUGUGCUUGAGAAACACAGGGCCAGGAGAGAAGUAGGGGACUUUGUGGUUAAGGAUAUGGUGGAUAUGCUUCUGAGAUUGGCUGAUGAUCCCGAUCUUCAAGUUAAGCUCACUACUGAUGGGAUCAAAGGGUUUACACAGGUUACUGUUAUAUGAGUUCAUGAACAUAUCCAACCAUUCCAAUUAGGCCUAUUCUAUUGAAAUCUCAUGAUAAUUUUGCUUGUUUUGUUGUUUCAUGGUCAGGACCUAAUAGCUGGUGGUACAGAUACCUCAGCUACUACUCUGGAAUGGGCGAUGUCCGAGGUCUUGAGGCAGCCAAACAUAGCUAACAAGGCAACCGAAGAGCUGGAUAGAGUUAUAGGGAGAAAUAGAUGGGUGGAAGAGAAAGACAUUCCCCAACUUCCUUACAUAGAUGCAAUUGUGAAGGAGACAAUGAGGCUACACCCUGUUGCUGUCCUGCUUGCCCCUCACCUGGCUCUUCAUGACUGCAAUGUAGCUGGCUAUGAUAUUCGCAAAGGAACCCGAGUCCUAAUAAACACAUGGAGCAUAGGGCGGGACCCCAAUCUAUGGGAUGCACCUGAGGAAUUUCGCCCAGAGAGGUUCCUAGGGAAGGCAAUUGAUGUGAAGGGGCAAAACUUCGAGCUGCUGCCAUUUGGUUCAGGGCGGAGGAUGUGUCCUGGCUACAGCCUUGGCCUAAAGAUGAUUCGAUCCAGCUUGGCUAACAUGUUGCAUGGAUUCCACUGGAAAUUGCCUGGGGAUAUGAAGGCAGAAGAGCUGAACAUGGAGGAAGUUUUUGGACUGGCAACUCCAAGGAAGGUCCCACUUGUUGCUGUCAUGGAGCCUAGACUCCCAAGUCAUCUUUACUAGUCGUGCCUUAGACCUAUGUUUUCUUAAUAUUAUUCAGUUGUGUGCAAUGGUUUUAGUCUGUUAAUUCUAUUUCUCCUGUUCUCUAUCCAUGAAUGCAUUAGUGGCUUGCUCAAUUGAUAACAAACCUUACAAAAAUGAGGUUACUGAUGUUAAUAAAAGAUACAACUAAUGCCAAACUUUUCAAUUGUGUUGACGGUGUAUAUGUCACAAAUGAUCUCAUUUCUUAGGAUUUCAUUUUCUUUUCUCAUGUGGGGGAGGCAGCCAUGAAUCAGUCAGUUGCUUCAUUGUUAAUCAAAGGAAAAUGAGGCGAAUGUGAAAGAAUUGAUUCAGAUAACUGAAAUGUUCUUCUCAUAAGUAUUUGUUGUCACCUCGCGUAUCCGAUGGUCCACGUUGCUGCUAUAUGGAUGGACACGUGAUUCUCAACACACAAGGGGUUCUUGACUCAGUGGUUGCACCUGCAAAAGGCAUCCGGACAGGGUGUCCGGACGCACCCUUCGAUGGUUUUAUUAGCCAUGGUGAGAAAGAGAGAUAUAUAAAUCAGUUGGCCUUUUUCUAGGUAUCAAGAGGUUACCAGGAGAUCUCCCUUUCUUCUUCGUGCGAAAGUAUAUAUAUCCAGCUUCAGGGGUACUGUUCCUCUCAUUAAUGGUGAGGAGAUCUUUUCUGUUGUGAUGAUGACAAUAGGUGUUAGUAGGAACAUUAUCAUCCUAUGAAUGGCUGUCAGAGACUAUGGUAGGUGAUGCGGCCGUCAGAGAUCGUGGGAAGCGAUUAUGCAGAAUGAUCGUGGGAAGUGACUUGCUGUCACUUCCUCUUGUCUUCUCAUUCUGCAGGUGAUGGGAUGUGGGCCAUGGCUACUUGUUGUGAUUGCGUGUAAGACUCGCUUUACUUUAAUUGACCAUCCAGAAGAUUUAUAUCCGGAUGGCUCAUGCUGACUAUCCGGAUGUGUUGUGGAGACUAUCCGGAUGUGUACGCUCUGCCAGCGUCGUUUGCUCUUCCUUGGAUAGGAGAAGAUGAAACGUCGUUUGCCUUUCCUUGAGGCGGUCCGGAUAGGAUAACUGCACCAUGCAUAUCCUUAGGGGAAUCCGGAUGAUGAUGGUCCGACUGAUAACACGUGCCACGCGUCACUAUGAGCUGCGUGCCACGUGUUUCCCAAGGGGAGGGGUCCCUACAUUGCCCCCCUUUUUAACUUGCCUAUUUUGCCUAAAAAAUGGGCGGGUUAAAAAUAACUGGCUUUUGAAAACUGAAGAAGUCCCUUCGUCUGACUGGGCCACGUGGCGAGUGGGGGUGCGGAAGCCAAAAAGGCAUUUAUGACGAGCCGCCGACCCUGCGUAUCCCCAGACAAUAUGUCGUUUCAAUGAUAACAUGGCUGUUGGUUUGGCUUUCCGAGGGGCUGUCCUGCUAUAAAUAGGGUACUGUACCUCUUUUUGUAUUUUUUCCUACUGCAUUCUCUUGAGAGUCUUUCUUCUUACUGCUUUUUCUACGCCCUUUGCUUUUCUGAGAAAAAAACUCCGAAAGCUCUUUUGUACCAGUGCUUUUGUAUCGCGACUUUGUUGGUUUGCUGCUGGUGAUUUUGUAUCAAGGCGGUACCCGUUCUUCUUCUUCGGUGCUGUAUUUGGUACGUAUCUCUUUGCUACUGCCGUUCCUUUGGUUGCGUUUGCUGGUUCUUUACACUUGUUUUCUGGCUUGCUUGGGCAUUGUUUUGGACGAGUCGUUUGCAAUUGUUGUUGAAUGUUGGUACUUUGUUGUUGUUUGGAGGGGUUUUUGAGGGGUUUUUCUGACGGCUUUGAGUUAGGGUUUGUGUAUUUUCUGAUUGCUUGGUCUGAACCGUUUGCAUUGUUUUUGCGUAUAGAUUUUGCUUUGGCUUUGUGGUAAGAAAUGGCUCCAAAAAAGACUGUUUCGUCUGUCCGGGUCAGCGAGGCUGGCGAAAAGGCGAUAGAUAAACUAAAUGCGAAGGAGUUUCGGGAGCGAUUCCGCAUCCCCCAUGACGUAUUGAUAGACCUGGUGAACGAGGAGGCGGCUAUGCCUACUGAGAAAGGUGGAAAAAACGCUAUCCUCUUCACAAAGGAACAAUUCAACGCGGGGCUCCGGUUUCCUCUGCCANNNNNNNNNNNNNNNNNNNNNNNNNNNNNNNNNNNNNNNNNNNNNNNNNNNNNNNNNNNNNNNNNNNNNNNNNNNNNNNNNNNNNNNNNNNNNNNNNNNNCUUGAGGCGGUCCGGAUAGGAUAUCUGCACCAUGCAUAUCCUUAGGGGAAUUCGGAUAAUGAUGGUCCGUAUCCGGAUGUGUUGUGGAGACUAUCCGGAUGUGUACGCUCUGCCAGCGUCGUUUGCUCUUCCUUGGAUAGGAGAAGAUGAAACGUCGUUUGCCUUUCCUUGAGGCGGUCCGGAUAGGAUAUCUGCACCAUGCAUAUCCUUAGGGGAAUCCGGAUAAUGAUGGUCCGGCUGAUAACACGUGCCACGCGUCACUAUGAGCUGCGUGCCACGUGUUUCCCAAGGGGAGGGGUCCCUACAUUGCCCCCCUUUUUAACUUGCCUAUUUUGCCUAAAAAAUGGGCGGGUUAAAAAUAACUGGCUUUUGAAAACUGAAGAAGUCCCUUCGUCUGACUGGGCCAUGUGGAGAGUGGGGGUGCGGAAGCCAAAAAGGCAUUUAUGACGAGCCGCCGACCCUGCGUAUCCCCAGACAAUAUGUCGUUUCAAUGAUAACAUGGCUGUUGGUUUGGCUUUCCGAGGGGCUGUCCUGCUAUAAAUAGGGUACUGUACCUCUUUUUGUAUUUUUUCCUACUGCAUUCUCUUGAGAGUCUUUCUUCUUACUGCUUUUUCUACGCCCUUUGCUUUUCUGAGAAAAAAAACUCCGAAAGCUCUUUUGUACCAGUGCUUUUGCAUCGCGACUUUGUUGGUUUGCUGCUGGUGAUUUUGUAUCAAGGCGGUACCCGUUCUUCUUCUUCGGUGCUAUAUUUGGUACGCAUCUCUUUGCUACUGCCGUUCCUUUGGUUGCGUUUGCUGGUUCUUUACACUUGUUUUCUGGCUUGCUUGGGCAUUGUUUUGGACGAGUCGUUUGCAAUUGUUGUUGAAUGUUGGUACUUUGCUGUUGUUUGGAGGGGUUUUUGAGGGGUUUUUCUGACGGCUUUGAGUUAGGGUUUGUGUAUUUUCUGAUUGCUUGGUCUGAACCGUUUGCAUUGUUUUUGCGUGUAGAUUUUGCUUUGGCUUUGUGGUAAGAAAUGGCUCCAAAAAAGACUGUUUCGUCUGUCCGGGUCAGCGAGGCUGGCGAAAAGGCGAUAGAUAAACUAAAUGCGAAGGAGUUCCGGGAGCGAUUCCGCAUCCCCCAUGACGUAUUGAUAGACCUGGUGAACGAGGAGGCGGCUAUGCCUACUGAGAAAGGUGGAAAAAACGCUAUCCUCUUCACAAAGGAACAAUUCAACGCGGGGCUCCGGUUCCCUCUGCCAGCCUUGUUCAAGGAAUUCCUCCACUUCUCUCAGAUUCCACCCAUCUUCAUUCAUCCCAACCUUGUCCGGGUGCUGAUGGGAUGCAACAUUAUCAACAUGCUGUACAGCCUCGACCUUACGCUACUGGAAUUGUUCUUUGUCUAUUCCCUGAAGAAAGCAAAGAAUGAUAUCUUCAGUGUGUCCGCUCACCUGCCUUCCCUUCAAAUGGUGACAGAACUGCCAGAUUCGACAAAGGGAGGGGUGAAGGGGCUGGUAGCAGUCUGGGGUGGAUGGGCGGGGCUAUCGUAGCAUCCGUCGAGGCCUUUUUCUCCGAAUUAUAGCUUAAAAAUUCCGGGUAAUCUUGUUUUGCGAUUUUUUAUCCGGAUUUUGCUUUGCUGAUUUUUUCUGAUUUUUCCGGACAGAAUUCUCACCUUUUGUUGCUGACAAUGCAGGUUUGGAAUUGAGGGGCCACCUUGUGGAUUGGGUGGAAAAGGCGUCAUUUGCCUGCGUCUGCAAAUUAUUUGAAAUAGACCCCAAGGAGAGGGCCUACAAAACAUUGCUUUCCGCGCGGAAUUUGACAGAGGUCGUCCGGGAGCCCCAGGAAUAUGUUAUCAAUAUUCUUCCUAGGAAACUGGCAAAGGAUGAGAUAGUGCCUGGGGAGCAUUAUACAGUGAAGGAGCUCCCCCUCUAUCAGGAAGCUAAAGAGGCUGACGCUGAAAGGCGGCGAAAGCUCCUGGAGGAUAGAGAUCAGAAAAAAACUGAAGGCACUAUCCGGAAGGCUCCCGGACAGAAGGGGGGGCCGGACCCUCCUUCAAAGAAAAUUCCAGGCAAGAGGGAGAAGCUAGUGAAGAAGCAUGGGAAGGAUGUGAAGGAACCCACUCCUCCCAAAGAGUUCCCUCCUCCCCAAACUACCUAUGAGAGGGAAGUAAUGAUAGAGGAUCCAGUAAAUGCUGCUCCGCACUCUAUCUCAAGCGGCCCCGGACGCAUGUCGGGGUUGAAUCACUCAGGUCCUUUCUUGGUCGCGGCUGCGCGUCUGGCUAACGUGGCUGAGGAAGCUGCAUCUAUCAACCGUCCGGGCAACCUUAAUCCGGAUGCUGAUGCAGCUGAAACGGCCCCGUUGGAGGAAGCGGGAGCAGAAAGCCAAAGUCAGCCUUCCGACGAUCCGGAUCGCCUGGCUAUAGUCCUGGUGAAAGGGCCUCCCCUCAAGAAGCCGCGUUUGACGCGCGAUCUACAGUCCGGACUCUUUGAGCGGCUUCAAGAGCGGCAGCAAGAGAUUGAAAUUAGCUGCGCUUCUGCCCAUGACGCUCAUCCGGAUGGAGGCGAGGUGGAGAUGGCUACUGAGACCUCAGCCGCUCCGGCAAUAAUUCCGGCUGAGGAUGCAUCCGGACCUAUGUGCCCGGACGAAAAUAUGGGGGCUCCGAUUCCGGGACACGAGCUACCCUCUCCUUCCUCAUCCGAGGAGGAAUCUGCUGAUGAUGCCGCUCCCGCUAGCCCUUUCAGCUACGCGGAGUUGGAAGCUAAGUUAAAGCAGAUUACUCCUGACUGGAAAGCCAUCAAGCCCUCUGCUAAGAUGUUUGAUAUGAUAGAAACGGUACACCGUUGUCUUGUGUUUUUGCUUUUUGACUUUUUGUUGCACUGAUGUGUUUGUUGUAGUAUGAUUUAUGUUUUUGCUUUUCUUGUUUGUGUGUUAGCUGGUGAGGGGCCUCCGCAGCAUGUCUCAACAACACGCUCUUUAUACUCAGCUGCUGCAGACCGCAGACUAUAUGAGGACCUUCUCCUCUCGGCACCAAGAGAUUGAAAAUCAACUGCGUCUGAGAAUGGAGGAGGCUGAGGCCAGUCUAUCCACCAUGCGAGAGGAAAAUGAAGCCUUUCGGGUGGAGUUGGCUGAGGCAAAGGGUCGAGAAGAAUCAACUGCGGGCCGUCUUCAUGAGGCGGAGGGUGAGGCAGCCCGGCUAAGGGAUGAAUUGAGUCGACUCCGGACAGAAGUUUUGAAUGAAAAGAAACAGAAGGAAGACUUGCAGCUGCGUCUGGAUGUGCAAAAAGAGGAACUUGAACGGGAGUUUGCUGUGGAAAGGGAGGAACUUGCAGCGGAUUACCAGAGACAAGUGGAUGAUACAUUUAUCUUUGGGUAUCGCUGCUGCAUGAAGAAGAACGGUAUAAAGCGAGAUACCCCUUCAAUUCCUCCAAGUGAAGAAAAGAAGCUCCAUGAGAAACCUGCUCCCUGAUAGUUUAUCUCUUCUUGCAAUUUUUCUGCUGUAAUUUUUCCUUCUGCAUAUUUUUGUGGUCCGGAUGUCUCUUUGUAAUUUACAUUUACUCAUAUCAAUAAAACUUACUUCUUUCUCAUUUGCACUUGUGUACACUUUCUACUGAUAAUACUGCUUUAAAUUAAACACAUUCCAUGGUCUGAGUAACGGAGUGCCAUCUAGCUUUUGUAAAUGAUAGGCUCCAUUUUCAUUUGCCUUAGACACUAUGUAGGGUCCUUCCCAAUUGGCUUGGAAUUUUCCUGCGCCUACUUCAACAGUAUUUUCAAAAACUUUUCUAAGUACUAGCGUACCAUUUUUGAAGUUUCUGGGCCUGACUUUUCGAUUGUAAUGCGCUGAUGCUCUUUGUUGAUAAUCUGCCAUCCGGAUGGAUGCGCUUUCUCUGACUUCGUCUGCCCAGUCCAAAUUUCUUCCUAGUUCCGUGUCGGCGUCUUUUUGCUUUGCUGCAUCAGUUCGGAUAGUAGGAAGACCUAUUUCAGUGGGAAUGACUGCAUCCAUUCCAUAUGUGAGGGCAAAAGGAGUAUUUCCUGUUGGUCGUCCGGGUGUGGUUCGAUAGGCCCACAGGACGCCGGGUAGUUCCUCCACCCACUUCCCUUUGGCUUGCUCCAGCCUUUUCUUCAAGGCAUUGACUAGAGUUUUGUUUGUGGCUUCCGCCUGGCCAUUGCUUUGAGGAUAACGUGGCGUGGAGUAUGAAUUCCGGAUAUUCAAUUCCGAACAGAAAUUCCUGAAUGCAAUGCUGUCAAAUUGUGGACCGUUGUCAGCUAUGAUGAUUUGGGGAAUCCCAAAGCGGCAAACAAUGUUCUUCCAUACGAACUUGGUAACAUCUUUAUCUUUGAUGCUUGCAUAUGCUUCAGCUUCUACCCAUUUACUGAAGUAAUCAGUGGCGACAAGAAGGAAUUUCUUUUGGGCGGGUGCUGCUGGGAGGGGUCCCACUAUGUCCAUGCCCCACUGCGCGAAAGGCCAUGGGCCUGAGACCGAUUUUAAUGCGACUGAUGGUAUAUGUGGAAUGGGAGCGUAUCUUUGACAUUUAUCACAUUUUUGGACAUAUGCUGCCGCGUCUUUCUUCAUUGUUGGCCAAUAGUAUCCUUGUGAAUGAGCUCUAUGUGCUAGGGAUCGUCCUCCCGUAUGAUUUCCGCAUAUUCCUUCAUGUAACUCAGCUAACACAUACUGGGCCUCUGAAUGCCCAAGACAGCGAAGAUAAGGCCCUGUGAAGGAUCGCUUGUACAGGUGCCCCCCAAUCAGGGUGAAACGGGCAGCUUGCACCCGGAUUUUGUGCGCUCGUUUAGGAUCUUCGGGUAAAGUUCCUGUCCGGAGAUAUUCUACAAUAUCAUGCGUCCAUUCUUGAUCAUCCGCUUGGUCUGCUUCAAUGGAGUUGCAAGUGGAAUUUUCUGCGACAGAGGGAUUGACUUGUACAUGGAUAGGCAAUAGAAUGGCUUCUCUGAUGGGGAGGGAAGCAGCUAUACCGGCCAAGGCGUCAGCGCGCCCGUUGUCAGCUCGCUUAAUUUUUUCAAUUGUCCACUCGGUGAAUUGCUGUAAGGUGCUUCUUACUUUGGCCAAGUAUCGCGCCAUGCGUGAGUCCUUAGCCUCAUAUUCUUUCUGGACAUGCCUUACCACUAGUUGCGAGUCGCUGUAGAUUCGGAGUUUGGAGACGGAUAGCGCAAGAGCGAGGUCCAAUCCGGACAGGAUGGCCUCGUAUUCUGCUUCAUUGUUAGACGCGGAGAAUCCCAGCCGGAUGGCCUGCUCCAGAUGUUCCCCAGUUGGGGACUGCAAUAAGAGCCCAACUCUAGAGCCUGAUGAGCGUGAGGCUCCGUCAACUCGUAGAGUCCACCACUCCUGUUCACCUGAUUCGUGGUGCUGGUCGGGUCUUCGUGAAUAUUCGAGCACGAAGUCGGCCAUUACUUGGCCUUUUUUGGAUAAUCUGGGUUGGAAUUCGAUUCCAAAUUCGCUCAAUUCGAUGGCCCAUUGUAGCAUUCGCCCAGUUAAAUCUGGCUUGUGUAGAAUGCUACGAAGGGGCUGGUCGGUCAGUACAAUCACUGGGUGGGCUUGAAAAUAGGGGCGGAGCUUUUGAGCAGCACUUCGAAGAGCUAAGGCUGUUAGCUCCAUUUUUGAAUACCUGGUUUCUACAUUUGCCAAAGCUCUGCUGACAUAGUAGACAGGUUUCUGCUCCUUUGGCGAAGGGCAGCGGAAUAGAACGGCGCUGAUUGCCCAUUCUGAGAUAGCUAAAUACAUAUAUAGCUUCUCCUUUGGGAUGGGGCUGCUCAAGAUGGGCGGAUGCAUAAGACAGUGUUUAAUUCUUUCCAACGCGUUUUGGCAAUUGUCCGUCCAUCCCUGCGUUCCAGCUUUUCGUAUUGCUAAGAAGAAGGGUCGCAACUCAUCAGUGAAGCGGGCUAUAAAACGUCCUAACGCAACGAGCUUGCAUGUGAGGCCUUGUAACUCCUUUUUGUUCCUGGGAGGAGGUGUCUCCAUGACUGCUUUGACUUGAUCCGGGCUGACUUCUAUGCCUCUUUGGCUAACCAUAAAUCCCAGAAAUUUGCCAGCACUCACGCCAAAGGCACAUUUGGAAGGAUUUAGCUUCAUGUCAUACUUUCGCAAGAGGUAAAAUACUUCUUGUAAAUGGAGGAUAUGCUGCUCUCGAGUUUUGCUUUUAACCACGAUAUCGUCAAUGUAUACCUCGACCGAGCGGCCUAUCAGAGGUUUGAAGAUUUUAGUCAUCAAUCUUUGAUACGUGGCGCCAGCGUUUUUGAGUCCGAAUGGCAUGACUUUGUAGCAAUAGAGGCCGUGUGGCGUUAUGAAUGCUGUUUUUUCUUCGUCAUCCGGAGACAUGGGAAUUUGGUGAUAGCCGGAGAAGGCAUCCAAGAAAGAGAGCAUCCCUUGCCCGGAAGUGGAAUCCACAAUUUGAUCUAUCCGCGGUAAGGGAAAACUGUCUUUUGGACAUGCAUUAUUGAGAUUGGUGUAAUCAACACAGACUCGCCAUUUGCCCUCUUUCUUUGGUACCACUACUACAUUUGCCAACCAAUCCGGAUAAGAUACCUCUCUGAUGAAUCCGGCUUCCAACAAUUUGUUAAUUUCAUCUUGGAUAACUCUUUGUCUAUCCGGGUGAAAUCGUCUAAUCUUCUGUCGAAUGGGUCUGGCUGCUGGAAAGACGUUAAGCUUGUGAGAGGCGAUAGAGGGAUGAAUUCCCUUCAUAUCCGAAUGUGUUCAUGCGAAGAUGUCAUGGUUACUUCGAAGGAUAUUCUAUAUGCUCUGGGUUUCUUCUUGUGUCAUGAGGGAACUGAUGUUUGUGAGGUGAUCAUUCUCUUCUGAGAUUUGGAUUGUUUGUAAGGGAUCUGCUACCGGGGGAUCCUUGUCCACCAGACCCAAUAAUUGCUAUUGGUCGCGCGCAAUGCUAGGUUCAGGGGGAGAUGCAUCCUCCUGGUUAGCGACUGCUUCACGUGCUAUUUGGUAGCACUGGCGAGCGGCUAACUGGCUGCCAUACAAGUCAGUUUGCCCUUCAUUGGUGAGGAAACUCACCAUUUGAUGAUAUGUGGAGGGGAUGGCUUUCAUGUAGUGAAGCCAUGUGCGUCCCAAGAUGAUAUUGAAGGGUGACAAUUCUUGCACCACCGAGAAUUGCACGUUGAGAGUGACUGGUCCAGCUCGAACCGGCAGUAUAAUGUCUCCUAAGGAUGUUGUUGAUGAUCCGUUGAAUCCAGAUAAGAUUCGUCCGGGGUUUUCGAGACCCGCGAGACUAUGUCCCAUAUGGCCAAUGACUGAUGCUUGUACUAGAUCGGCUGAACUGCCUGGAUCAACCAAGAUACGUCUUACAUCAAAAUCUCCUAUUUCUAGAGAGAGGAUGAGGGCGUCGCGAUGUGGCUGUAGCGUCCGGGUGGGAUCUACUGGUGGGAAAAUGAUUGUCCCAUCUAUGGGGCGAGGGCUCUCUCCAGUAAGACCCGGCCGGAUGGAAUUAAUGCGCUCGCGUAUUGACGCGGCCCGCAGCAAUUUCUGCCUUUUACGCCUGGAAUCGUAUUCCUCGUCAGACGGGCCCCCAUUGAUAUAGUUUAUCACAGCCUUAGGGGCGACUGGGGCCCUCGGGGCCUCAGAGUUAUGAUGCUGAGAUACAUCCCUUCCUCCAGUAUCUGAGCGGAGGUACUGUUUUAAAUGUCCUGCUUUGAUGAGCCUUUCAACUAGAUAUUGGAGGGAUCGACACGUCUCUGUUGUAUGACCAUGGUCUUUGUGGAAGGCGCAUUUCUUGCUGCGGUCUCUUAUGGAUGGGUCCGUUUCGAGGGGUCUAGGCCACCUGAAGUCGGACAACCCUUGGAUCAUUGGGAGAAGUUUUUCGUAUGAUACGGAUAGGGGUGUGACGGGCGGCCUAUUCGGACGACUCGGCCCGUCCUGUCUCCGGUCAACUGGUUUUGGACGGUCCGGAGGCUUGGCAUGCCUGUCCGCGUUAUCUCUAGAAGCCCGUCCGGCAACCAAAACUUGCUGAGUGGCUGCACGCACGUCAUCUUCGAGCAUUGAAUAUUUGUUAGCACGUCUGAACAAAUCGUCCAUCGUUGUAGGAGGCUUUUUUGCCAGUGAUUCAAAAAAUGGAGUGCCUGGACAAAUGCUUCUCUUGAAGAUUUGUAGGACAGCAUUCAUGCUGCAAACCUCUAUUUGGAGUACGACUUGGCCAAAUCGUUUCACAAAUUCCCUCAAGGAUUCGUUGUCUCUCAUUUUUAUGUUCUGGAGGGUGCUGAUAUUCUGCUUGUGUCGAGCAGAGCACAAGUACUGUCCCACGAAUGCUUCAGAGAGGUCCCUGAAAUUGUCAAUAGAGUUAGGAGGUAGGCGAUGAAACCAUGAGAGGGCUUGCCCUUGAAGGCUGGCAGGGAAUACUUUGCAUAAUAAUGCAUCGUUGCCAAUAUCGAGCGUCAUAAGCUGUCGAUAGUGCAUGAUGUGAUUGAAGGGAUCGUUGGUCCCAUCGUAUGUGGAAAACUUUGGUACGAGGAAUCCUCUUGGGGGCUCGUAAUGGGUGAUAUGAGAGCAAAAGGGCGUGGAGAGCAUGUCAUCCAGCCUUUUGCUGAUGAAGCCAAUGGGUGGCUCGUUGGGAGGUUUCUCCCAGCUGGUCGUUCCGCUAGGUGUGAGUGAACGUUCCGCAUCGCUGGGGUGACCAUGGGGUCACGAUGCGGAGGUACGUUCUGCACCAUGGGAGCGAUCAUAGGAUCGGGGCGUGGCGCCCGGGUUGUGGCUGCUGGUGGCCUUGAUCUCCCAGGCUCUUGUGGGCCUAGUCUUGCGCGCAUAGAACUUGACAACUGUGAUUUUCUAUCACGCUGUCUUUUUGCUGAGAAAUGAGUGAAAUCUGAGCUUUCCUCACGAGGAGCUCGAGGCAUGGGUGUGCGUGGCUCAUGGGGCCUUGCGUUGUACGUUCCUGGGAUAGCUCCUGUUGACCCAGGAUAUAUUGAUUCUGGCUCUGGCUUUGAGUUUGCCACCUGGCCUUUUGAGCGCUGACGACGAGGAGGUCCUGAUGUUGAGGCUUGAAUGCGUAACACAGCGUUUUCUUCCCUUAACCUCUCCGUCUCCUAGAGGAGAGCUUUUAGCUGUUUUUCGCUCGCCAACUGUCUUUUUUCGAUGGCUUGACGCCAUUCGUGAUUAUCUUCUUCCUCUCUACCAGAUGAUCGACUUUGGGAAGGUGUGGCCAUCUUUGCUAGUGACUGAAUCAAAAUAAAAAGUAAAAGUUUCCCACAGACGGCGCCAAUGUUGUCACCUCGCGUAUCCGAUGGUCCACGUUGCUGCUAUAUGGAUGGACACGUGAUUCUCAACACACAAGGGGUUCUUGACUCAGUGGUUGCACCUGCAAAAGGCAUCCGGACAGGGUGUCCGGACGCACCCUCCGAUGGUUUUAUUAGUCAUGGUGAGAAAGAGAUAUAUAAAUCAGUUGGCCUUUUUCUAGGUAUCAAGAGGUUACCAGGAGAUCUCCCUUUCUUCUUCGUGCGAAGGUAUAUAUAUCCAGCUUCAGGGGUACUGUUCCUCUCAUUAAUGGUGAGGAGAUCUUUUCUGUUGUGAUGAUGACAAUAGGUGUUAGUAGGAGCACUAUCAUCCUAUGAAUGGCUGUCAGAGACUAUGGUAGGUGAUGCGGCCGUCAGAGAUCGUGGGAAGCGAUUAUGCAGAAUGAUCGUGGGAAGUGACUUGCUGUCACUUCCUCUUGUCUUCUCAUUCUGUAGGUGAUGGGAUGUGGGCCAUGGCUGCUUGUUGUGAUUGCGUGUAAGACUCGCUUUACUUUAAUUGACCAUCCAGAAGAUUUAUAUCCGGAUGGCUCAUGCUGACUAUCCGGAUGUGUUGUGGAGACUAUCCGGAUGUGUACGCUCUGCCAGCGUCGUUUGCUCUUCCUUGGAUAGGAGAAGAUGAAACGUCGUUUGCCUUUCCUUGAGGCGGUCCGGAUAGGAUAACUGCACCAUGCAUAUCCUUAGGGGAAUCCGGAUGAUGAUGGUCCGGCUGAUAACACGUGCCACGCGUCACUAUGAGCUGCGUGCCACGUGUUUCCCAAGGGGAGGGGUCCCUACAGUAUUCAUACACUUUAUGCCUAAAAUGUGACCCACUAUGAAAUACAAGACAACCCUCAGCAAAUCUCUAUUCAUAAUAUGAUCUACAGCUCUACCCACUUUUCUACCUUUUCCUGCUCCUGGGAUGUAAGGAGAGUUUGGAUUGUUUCUGAGGUUCUAGCGUAGACUGGUUGGGGAUUUUGGUGAUAUGAUCCUAUGCCUAUGGCCUCAAUGGGAACUUUCUUUUUUUGGGUUUCUUCUGUGCUUCUCCUUCUUCCUUUGUCUCCUCCUUAAGCAAGUCAUUUUUGCUUGGGGCGGUGCACACAAAGAGCUCAACAGAAUAUCAUGUGGGCCCAAGUGACUUGAGUCCAAAUUGAGUUUGGUCAUUUAGUCCAACCCACUUAGGUCUUAAUUAAUUAAUUAGCUCUAAUGGGCUCAAAUAAAUUAAUUAACCUAAUUCAGAGAGUCAAUUUAUAAGAUUUAGUAUAAUAUUACAUUUUUAGUAAAAAACCUUUAUUGUAUACUUAUGAAUCAUAUACCCAAAAUAUCCUUAAAGCAUGUGCCACCAUGAAAUAGGGCUUUAGUGAGAGCCACUUUUGAAGUUGACUCAACUACACUCAAAAUCUAAUUUUGGCUCCUAUAUUCAACAACUUUCAAAAUGUUGGCUCUUCAAAAUCCAAUUCUAAAGUUAACUUAAUAUUCCAUUUCAUUAAAGAGGGUUAACUUCACUUUAGUAACCUAUGAAAUUACAACGAGACAAAGCUUGAAUUUGUGACCUACUAUCUUGCAUGCAAAUUCCCCAUGAAUUAGUGGUCGUAAUAUAACAAAGUAAUACUAUCACUUAUCAAGAUUAUCUCUCCAAUAUUUAAAUUAGAGAUUUCAGUUAUUAUGUAAUCAACGGAUACACUCUAACUCUAAGGAGUAUAUGCCAAAUUUCACUAAAGGAAUUAUUGCGGCCACAGAUUUUAUGAUCACAUGUCAUUUGAAUUACCCAAGAUGAUACAUUGUCUUAAUUCGAUGAGAUAUCAUGGUGCCUCUAUUAAGAAUACCUAUUGUCACUAGCCUCCAUCAAUAGUGACUCAAUCUUUAGAGAUAUAUGACUACUUUAGGGUCUCAUCUAUUAGUCAAAACCUCCUAUUGAUUUCAAUACAAACUCAAUAUUCCUUCAAGAUUGAAAGUUCAUGCAAUAUAGUAACUUAUUGAAUCAUGACAAUUGAUAACCUUAUGUCAUGAUUCCUAGUAUGUUUAGUCUAGUGUACAUUGCAUACACUAAUGUGCUUACUAUGAGAAAUUCGUUCUGACAAUCAAGACACGUCAUCCCUCCAAUUAGGAGGUAGUGCAUUACAGUUUUUAUUGGAUUACCCAAACCUGUGAAUUAACUAUAGAUAACUUAUCUAUUUACAAGAAACUUAUAACUUGUAUCUUUUGUACAACUCUUAAUGCACCAAAGUCAUGUGCAAUAUAAGAGCUAUAAGUUGAAUGUUCAAAUUAAUAUUAAUACAUGAAACGGAUAGCAAAAGGACAAUUAAGUGUGACUUUAAUACAUCACGUCUUAUUUUUAGGAGUUCAAUCCCAACACAAACUAUGGAGUGCGGGUGACCAUUAUUACUCUCAAGCUUUCAUUUUCCUAUCAAAGGACUUCCGUAGCUAUAAAAGUGUCACGGUAUACUUUCAAUGCUCCACUUCCUGUUCAUCCUACUUUUUUCAAGUUAUGUCAAUCCGUCUUCUAGUCACCAUACAUCACAUGAUUUUUCUUUUGAAAUCAUGGCAAAUAAUGGGUUUUUUCUAUCCCAAUUCCAUCGACAACGCCAAGCGUUGUUACCACUCAACUAUACAAUUUAGAGGGAAUCUUAAUGACAAUUUUUGUUUUUAGGGACAGUUUCUGAAGUGAAAGAUACACCAUUGUUUUUUAAGCUUUAAGCGUUUAGGUUAUGGUUGAACAGUACUAUCAAAUAUGAUUCACAUGAGAGUUGAGACUAAUAUGUGAUUUCCACAAGCUUAUUUGCUUAUAAAUAGUCCCCCAUUACUCAAACUUCCACCACCUCCGAUAUCAGGAUCAAAACUUUUCAGUUUCUGGCCACCCCACAAGCAAAACCUUCCACCAGGACCCAAACCAGGGCUGAUCAUAAGAAACCUAAACCUCAUUGGCCAUCUCCCCCACCGGUCCCUCCACAAAGUGUCCCAAAAAUAUGGACAAAUAAUGCAAGCUUCAAUUCGGGUCUAUCCCAAUGGUAGUGGCCUUGUCUUCAGAAAUGGCAAGGCAGUUCUUAAAGACAAAUUAUCACCUCUUUGCCUCUAGGCCUCAGACUGCUGCUGGCAAGUACACUGCUUAUAACUAUUCCAACAUCAUCUGGGCACCUUUCGGUCCAUAUUGGCGUCAGGAGAGUAAAAUCUACCACACAGAGCUGUUCAACUGGAAAAAGCUCGAGUCUUAUGAAUAUAUUGGGGUCGAAGGAAGGUGGGCUUUCAUCUCCCACCUCUAUGCGUUGUCAGGAAAGCCAGUCAUGCUUAAAGACCAUCUCUCUCGCGUUACUCUCGGCGUUAUAAGCAGAAUUGUACUGCGGGAGAAGUAUUCAAUGAGUCUGAAUCCGGGAGGUCAAUAGUGACGGUGGAAGAGUUCCAAGAGAUGCUGGAUGGGUUGUUCUUGCUUAAUGGUGUGUUGAAUAUUAGGGAUUGGAUACCGCGGAUUGCAUUCUUGGACUUGCAGGGGUAUGUGAAGAGGAUGAAGGCUUUGCGCCAUAAAUUUGAUAGGUUUUAUGAUCAUGUGCUUGAGAAACACAGGGCCAGUUGAGAAGCAGAGGACUUUGUGGCUAAGGAUAUGGUGGAUAUGCUUCUGAGAUUGGUCGAUGAUCCUGAUCUUGAGGUUAAGCUCGGUACUGAUGGGGUCAAAGGGCUUACCCUGGUUAAUGUUAUAUGAGUUAGGAACAUAUCCAGCCAUUCAAAUUAGGCCUAUUCUAUUGAAAUCUCAUGAUAAUUUUGCUUGUUUGGUUGUUUCAUGGUCAGGACCUGAUUGCUGGUGGUACAGAUAGCUCAGCUACUACUAUGGAAUGGGCGAUGUCUGAGAUCUUGAGGUAGCCAAGCACAGCUAAUAAGGCAACUGAAGAGCUGGAUAGAGUCACAGGGAGAGAUAGAUGGGGGGAAGAGAAAGACAUCCCCCAACUUCCUUAAUAUAGAUGCAAUUGUGAAGGAGACAAUGAGGCUACACCCUGUCACUAGCUGUCCUGCUAGCACCUCACCUGGCUCUUCAUGAUUGCAAUGUAGCUGGCUGUGAUAUUCGCAGAGGAACCCAAGUCCUUGUAAACGCAUGGAGCAUAGGACCCCAACAUAUGGGAUGCACCGGAGGAAUUUCGACCAGAGAGGUUCCUAGGGAAGGCAAUUGAUGUGAAGGGGCAAAACUUGAGCUGCUGCCAUUUGGUUCAAGGCGGAGGAUGUGUGCUGGAUACAGGCUUGGCCUAAAGAUGAUUCGAUCAAGCUUGACUAACAUGCUGCAUGGAUUCCACUGGAAAUUGCCUUGGGAUAUGAAGACAGAAGAGCUGAACAUGGAGGAAGGUCCCGCUUGUUGCUGUCAUGGAGCCUAGACUUCCAAGUCAUCUUUACUAGUCGUGCCUUAGACCUAUGUUUUCUUAAUCUUAUUCAGGUUUGUGCUGUGGUUUUACUGAGGUUCUGGCGUAAAGCGGUUUCUGAAUAAAUGGUUUGGGAUUUUGGUGACCUGAUCUUAAGCCUAUGGCCUUGAUGGGAACUUUCUUUUUUCGGUUCCUUCUGUGCUUCUCCUCCUUCCUUUAUCUCCUCCUUAUGCAAGUCAUUUUCACUUUGGACUGUGUACAUAAAGGGCCCAAUAGGAAUAUCUUGGUAGUCCUGGAGAGGCUCCAGGGUCUUAACCACAGUGCUCAUUGUUGGUCUAUGCUUUGGCAUGUGGCUCAUGCACCAGUAAGCCAAUGCAGCAGCCUUUUGAGCCCCUGCUUCUGAGUAUUGGCCUUCAACUCUUGGAUCCAUUAUUCUGGUGAGCUUCCUGGAAUAGUUCAGUUGAGGCCUAGCCCAUUCUGCUAGGUUCUUCUCCCUGUUAGGCCUGGUCUUGUCCAUUGAUCUUCUCCCAGUUAGUAGCUUCAAGAGCACCACUCCAAAGCUGUAAACAUCGCUCAUUGCUGUCAAAUGCCCUGCAAACAAGCAAACUUCUUAUUUGUACUCCAAAGGAAUAUGCCCUUAACAUUCAAUCUAGAUUGGAUUAAACCUUACUGAAUUUCCUGUGAUAAUGUACUCUGGAGCAGCUUACCCUUGUGUCCCCAUGACUCGGGUUGAAACAUGCGUGUCAUCGCCUUCAGGGCCGUCUUUUGCUAAACCAAAAUCUUAUAAUUUGGGAGUAUGAUCCUGAAAAAGGUAUCAACAAAAGGUCAGCGAUCAUAAACAAAGCCAACAAUAAUGCUGAAGUGGAUGAAUUAGAACUCGCCACAGGUAACAGUAUGAUCCCCAUUUUAUAGGCAGCAUGAUACCCAUUUUAUAGCUAACAUGGGAAUUCGUGUUGUUAGGAAUUGGAAGGAACACGAAAGAAAAUCAUCAUUAAUAAGAUUCCUUCUAUUAUUAGCCUGUCAAUGAAACUAAGACAUGUUAUAAGAUCAUAGAUUGUUAGCCCUUGGGGGCUGUCUAACUAUGUUUUGAUGAUAACAACAUAAGAUGAAGUGUACUGAGUUGUUUGAAUUAAGAAAAGUUUCAAGUUUUAUUGAAAAUUUCAAAAGAAAGAUAAAGAUUGUCUAAAAAAAGAUUUGAAGGACACGAAAAAAUGAAUCCUUAAAGAUUUAUAAGGUUUAAGAAAUUUUGUAAGAUGAAUCUCUUGCAUGUGUUUAGGAUUAAACUGAUUUUUAUACACUUUUAAUGCAUUCAUUUAGAUUUAGGCGACAUUUGUUUUUUUAACUUUUUACUGAAAGCAAAUUGCUUUCAGAUUUCAAAUUGUUUAUUUCUUCACUUUUUGUUAAUUUAUUAUUUAUUUAAAAAAAAAUUUUAUUGAAUAGAAAAAGAUAAAAUAUUUGAUUUUUUUUUUUAAAGUUAAAAAUAACAUUGGUUUUUGUUUAUUUUUUAAUACUUAAUAAAAAUGAAAUAUUAAAAAACAAACAACUUGAGUGCAAUUGAAAUCCCAUAUCAAUAUUAAGAUCAAUUUUAAUAAUAUUUAUAAUGUCCAUAUAAUUUUAAAACAUAUUUAUACAAUAAAAAAUGGCCUACUAUAUAUAAUAUGUUAGGAAAAGAAAAUUUUUCUCCACAGAAGUCGAGUUUUACAAAAUCCUACCACAAGUCAAUAAAAAAAGAAAAAUGUUUGACGUAAGUUGAGAUUAGAGUUUGAAAUUACAAGUAAUGCAAGUGUAAAGUUUUCAUUAUGCAUGUUUGUGCAAUUUUCCUUAAAUCUUGAAAGUCACGGAUAACAAAAUAUGACCAUAAUCCACCAAUUCAUACACUAAAAAAUAUCUUCUAUAGAGGGAAUAGUCCUGAACCAUAAAAAAUAUAGAGACAGGCCGGCCAUGGGGUGGGUUCAAUUAUUAUUGAGAUCGCUCAUGGGGUGAAACAAUUUUAUUCUAUGCAACUUGAUUAUUGAGAUGGUGAUGGGGAUAAAAGAAGGUCCACCCUUAAUGUCAGGACAAAGAAGCAUGUUGCCCAUGAUUUUCUGAAAAGCUAAACAUAUUCUAAACAGUACUUCUUGCAAGCCCAAAGACACCAAAGUAGUGCAUCAGAAGAGCUUGGAAAGAGGUGUUGGGUGCUAGGUCAAUUUUUCGAAUAGAUCAAAAGAAAGCUAAAGAUUGUCUAAAAAAGAUUUGAAGGACACCAAAGGAUGAAUCCUUAAAGAUUUAUAAGGUCUAAGAAAUUUUGUAAGAUGAAUCUCUUGCGUGUAUUUAAUAUUAAAUUGAUUUUCAUACAUUUUUAAUGUAUUCAUUUAGACUUAGUUGACGCUUGUUUUUUUAACUUUUUGUUGAAAGCAAAUUACUUUUAGAUUUUAAAUCAUUUAUUUCUUAAAUUUUUUUAUUAAAUAGAAAAUAAUAAAAUAUUUGAUUUUUUCUUAAAGUUAAAAAUAAUAUAUUAGUUUUUAUUUACUUUUUAAUACUUAAUAGAAAUGAAAUAUUUAAAAACAAACAACUUGAGUGCAAUUGAAAUCUCGUAUCAAUAUUAAGAUCAAUUUUAAUACCAUUUAUAAUGUCCAUAUAAUUUUAAAACAUAUUUAUACAAUAAAAAAUGGCAUACUAUAUAUAAUAUGUUAGGAAGAGAAAAUUUUUCUCCAUAGAAGUUGAGUUUCACAAAAUCCUACCACAAGUCAAUAAAAAAAGAAAAAUGUUUGACAUAAGUUGGGAUCAGAGUUUGAAAUUAUAAGUGAUGCAAGUGUAAAGUUUUCAUUAUGCAUGUUUGUACAAUUUUCCUUAAAUCUUGAAAGUUACGGAUAACAAAAUAUGACCAUAAGCCAACAAUUCAUGCACUAAAAAAUAUCUUCUAUAGAGGGAAUAGUCUUGAACCAUAAAAAAUAUAGAGACAGGGCGGACAUGGGCUGGGUUCAAUUAUUAUUGAGAUCGCAGAUGGGAUGAAGCAGUUGUAUUCUAUGCAAACUUGAUUAUUGAGAUGGUGAUGGGGAUAAAAGAAGAUCCACCCUUAAUGUCACGACAAAGGCAUAUUCCAAACAAUACUUCUUGCAAGCCCAAAGACACCAAAGUAGUGCAUCAGAAGAACUUGGAAAGAGGUGUUGGGUGCUAGGUCAAUUUUUCGAAUAGAUUGAAGUAAAAUGUUUGUUUAUGAAAAUUUUUUAAAUACGAAUUGAUAAUGUGAAAGGUACAGUAUUGUUUUAUAUUUAAAUUGAAAGUGUCAAUUUUUUGUUUUUUCUGAUCUCCAUGCAUUACAUAACUCCAUCAGAAAUUCCCGGGGUGAGUAAUAGGAUUUGACGAUAGACUUAAAAAGUCAUCUAUAGACACUUUAUACGUAAUCAUUCUAGAUAACACUUGUAUUCUCUGUAUUACCUGAUAUAAAGUUAAUAGAUGCUCAUUCCUAUAUAUAUAAUGAUAUCUCAAAAGAUUUAAUUUUUUAUUAUAUUUAAUUCUUUUUAUUUUUCUUUAUUGAGUUAUCGAAUUGACUUUAUUUAUUAUUCCACUUUUUAAGAACAAGUGAUAUUGAUGUAAAAGGAUCGGGAUAGAAAUGAUAUUUUGAUUAGAAGCAACUUUGGAAUUGAUUAUUUAGGAUUAUUGACUUAAAGACUAAUGUCAUUUAUAACUUCUACAAUUUUUUAUUUAAAUGUUAUUAUUGAGCUAUUUUAAUUAGUUUUGAAUUUAUUGGUAAUGUAUUAAGCUCUGACAUGUGAAAUGAGUCUGGUACCUUUAGCUUUUGCGUUGGAGACUUUCUAUUGGGUAGGCUUGGCCGAAGUCCCACUCUCAAAUCACUACCAUAAAAGUUGUUUCCUUGUUAGGAGAAAUGUCCAAGAAAAUUGCAGACUGAGGCCCCAUGAACGAGAAAGGAGGUCAAUUAUUGAAGCACUCAUUCAUUUAGUUCUGCUGUGCAACUUCUGUUUAUGCAUCAUCUUUAUAUAAAAGGUUUCAUGGGAGGGCCAAGAGGAGAUACAUAUGAUCAGGCAUGAUAAAAGCAUGGUGUUCCCAUACACUUUAACAUGAUAAACAGGGCAAGGAUUAAUGAGCAUUCUUGUAGUCAUAACAUCAAGAAAUAUCCCCCAAUUGAAAGAGACUAAGGUAGUAUUUAGUUUUUUAACUUAAUACUCAAUGUAAUUUACUUUCAAAAUUUUUAAAUAGAAAAAACAAAAAUAUUUAAUAAUAAUAAAAUAAUAAAAAAUAAAUGAUUUAAUAUUUAAUAGUAUUAAGUUAAAUAAAAUUCCAUUUAAAUUUAAGUAAAAAAGCCAAACACGAAAGUAUUAAACUAUAGUAUCCAAUAUUAGCCUUGGCCAUUAGUUGAGAAGGUUGCUGUUCUCCUCCAUGGAUGCAAUGACAGAUUCUUCUGUGUUAAAUUUAUAAAUGUUUUCUCUCUGCUUUUGUGUCAUCUUGGUGGACACUGGAAGAUCAAGCCAUUUAAGUAAGACAUUUUUAUUGGGUUUUGGUGAGUGAAUGAUAUCUCUGAGUGAUACACCUUUUUUAUUUUUAUUUUUAGCUUUUACCUUAUGUUUAAUUCCUCGAAACUAAGAAGGAAAGCAAUUUUUUUUUUAAAUUAUCUUCUCAUAUUAAUUAUUCUAUAUAAAAUAGGAAAAAAAUCAAAUAUAAUUAAAAUUAAUUAAAAAUUUAUAUAUUUUCAAAUUAUUUAAUCUUAUUUGAAAAGAAUUAAAAAAAAAUAAAAUGAAUUGAAAAUAACAUAUAAAAAUAAUUUAUUAAUAUUAAAUAUAUUUUUAUUUUUUAUUUCCUUCCAUUUUUCUUCUUUACUUUCUUUUUCCCUUCCAAUCAAACAUAAUGUUUUAAGUGUUUAAUAAAAUAUUUAAACUCUUGUAAAUGGUUGAAUAGUACUACCAAAAUGUGAUUCACAUGAGUUCAAUAUAUGCUUUCCACCAGCUUAUUUGCUUAUAAAUAGUCCCCCGUUCCUCAAACUUUCACCACCAUUAAUGGAGGCUCCUUCUUGGGUUGUUUUGGCCCUAGCAUGGCUAGCCUCAGUAGCCCUUCUCUCAAAAGUUUUCAGUUUCCGGCCACCCCACAAGCAAAACCUUCCACCAGGUCCCACACCAUGGCCGAUCAUCGGCAACCUAAACCUCAUUGGCCAUCUCCCCCACCGGUCCCUCCACAAACUGUCCCAAAAAUAUGGACAAAUAAUGGAGCUUCGAUUUGGGUCUUUCCCAGUUGUAGUGGCCUCAUCUUCAGAAAUGGCAAAGCAGUUCUUAAAGACAAACGAUCACCUCUUUGCCUCCAGGCCUCACACUGCUGCCGGCAAGUACAUUACUUAUAACUACUCCAACAUCACCUGGGCUCCUUACGGUCCAUACUGGCGCCAAGGGCGUAAAAUCUUCCUCACAGAGCUGUUCAGCUCGAAAAGGCUCGCGUCUUAUGAGUACAUUCGGGUUGAAGAAAGGCAGGCUUUCAUCUCCCGCCUCUACGCAUUGUCAGGAAAGCCAGUCAUGCUUAAAGAACAUCUCUCUCGCGUUACUCUCGGCGUUAUAAGCAGAAUUGUACUGGGGGAGAAGUACUUCAGUGAGUUCGAAUCCGGGAGGUCGAUGUUGACGGUGGAAGAGUGUCAGAAGAUGCUGGGUGAGUUGUUCUUGCUUAAUGGUGUGUUGAAUAUUGGGGAUUGGAUACCGUGGAUUGCAUUCUUGGACUUGCAGGGGUAUGUGAAGAGGAUGAAGGCUUUGCGCGAUAAAUUUGAUAGGUUUUAUGAUCAUGUGCUUGAGAAACACAGGGCCAGAAGAGAAGCAGAGGACUUUGUGGCUAAGGACAUGGUGGAUAUGCUUCUGAGAUUGGCUGAUGAUCCUGAUGUUGAGGUUAAGCUCACUACUGAUGGGAUCAAAGGGUUUACACAGGUUAGUGUUAUUUGAGUUCAUGAACAUAUCCAACCAUUCAAAUUAGGCCUGUUCUAUUGAAACCUCAUGAUAAUUUUGCUUGUUUUGUUGUUUCAUGGUCAGGACCUAAUAGCUGGUGGUACAGAUACCUCAGCUACUACUCUGGAAUGGGCGAUGUCCGAGGUCUUGAGGCAGCCAAACAUAGCUAAAAAGGCAACUGAAGAGCUGGAUAGAGUUAUAGGGAGAGAUAGAUGGGUGGAGGAGAAAGACAUUGCCCAACUUCCUUACAUAGAUGCAAUUGUGAAGGAGACAAUGAGGCUACACCCUAUUGUUGUCCUGCUGGCACCUCACCUGGCUCUUCAAGAUUGCAAUGUAGCUGGCUAUGAUAUUCGCAGAGGAACCCGAGUCCUAGUAAACACAUGGAGCAUAGGGAGGGACCCCAACAUAUGGGAUGCACCCGAGGAAUUUCGACCAGAGAGGUUCCUAGGGAAGGCAAUUGAUGUGAAGGGACAAAGCUUUGAGCUGCUGCCAUUUGGUUCAGGGCGGAGGAUGUGCCCUGGAUACAGCCUUGGCCUAAAGAUGAUUCAAUCGAGCUUGGCUAACAUGUUGCAUGGAUUCCACUGGAAAUUGCCUUGGGAUAUGAAGACAGAAGAGCUGAACAUGGAGGAAGUUUUUGGACUGACAACUCCAAGGAAGGUCCCACUUGUUGCUGUCAUGGAGCCUAGACUCCAAAACCAUCUUUACUAGUCGUGCCUUAGACCUAUGUUUUUGAAGAUGAUCGGAAAAGUGUCCUUCUAGCUCGAUUGCAUGGGCUGGUUUUUAUAUAACAGGGUUGCCUGGCCAUGUGGUAGGCUGGUCAGUCAUUUUCCUGCCUUUUACAAGAAUACAAAAAUGCCUUUUGACUAAUAGGCAAAGGCAGUCAGCUUUCCAUCAAGCGUUUGGUGUGUUAUUAGUUCACCUCGUCAGGUAUUCUUCUUGGAGGGUAGCACGUUGGGGAUGUACUGCUUUUUGGCACCUCCAGUUUUAUUAAUAUUAUUCAGUUGUGUGUAAUGGUUUUGAUCCGUUAAUUGUAUUUCUUCUGUUCUCUAUCCAUGAAUGCAUUAGUGGCUUGCUUAAUUAAUAACAAACCUUUGAAAAAUGAGGUUACUGAUGUUGUCAAAGGAUACACAUAAUUGUAUUUAGACACAUGGCAGAGUGAUCCCUGUAUAAGAAACAAAAUAAGGAAUAUGGGAGUUUAUAGAGAUACGACACCUCGUACACUACUACAUCUCAUCUUCAUCAACCCUAGACCUUUAUCACCUUUUAACAUGUCGGCAUGCUGCAUGCCACUUCUAAUUUUGUUGGUGAAUAAAGCGUAUGUGAUUCUAUUGGAUGAUUAGCUUCUUAUUGUCAAAAAGGCGCAAAAAAUAUCUUACAGUAAGCAAAAAAGAUUAUCGACAGGCUGCCAUGCAUAUCAUAUGCUUAAAACAUUCUUGUCCUUAUUCAAAUUCAGUCACUUUCCUUAAUCUUUCAUCAAUCUAAUUUCUUCCUUAAGUGCUAUUCCAACAACCCUAUCUUAUCUUAAAUUUAGAGACAUUUAUAUAAUUUGAAAUUUUAAAAAGGCUUUUUUUUAAAAAUAAAUAUUUAUAUAAUUUUAAAAUUUUGUGAGAAAACAAAUGAGAUAUUUUCAUUAUUUUGGUCUUUGCAAUCACCCACUAUCUUUAUUUAUUUCCCAUAUUAUAAAAAAUUGAAAAGAUAAAAUAAAGAAAAUAAAUACAGAAAGUCUUCAAAGAACAGAUUACUUUGUUGUACCAUUUAAAAGUAAGAGUCUAACCUUGAUCCAUCUUUAUAUAUGUAAAUUAAAAUUCUAAAUAUAAUUUAGGUGGUGAUAAAUUUUAUUUCAAAUUUAAAAACUUAGGAGUAUUUACAAAUGUUCAUCAUAAAAUAAAAGAAAAAUAAAAGGAAAGUAAAGAGGCAAGAUGGAGAUGGGGAAAAAAAUUAGGGAAAAUAAUAAUAAUAAUAAUAAUAAUAAUAAUAAUAAUAAUAAUAAUAAUUAAAUAGACAUAGGAAAAUAAUUUUUAGAGUUUUAGUUUAAAUAAAUAAUUGAAAAAAAUGGAUUAUAAAUAUAAUUGAUAAUAAGAGUUUUAUAUAAAUUGGCAAUUUCCUAUAGAUGAAAAUAAUAUUACUUAUAUAGAAAAUUAGGAAUUAGAGUAUUAAUAAUUACAUCAAAGAGAAUAAUAUUAAUGCAAAUGGUAUCAAGAACGUCAAAUACUAAUUUUUAAUUUUUGAUAAAUAGCCGAUUGAAAUAAUUAUUCUUUGAACUAUGUUAUGUUAUGUGUGGAUUAAGUUCUUUAUGAUCAAGUAAUGUUUUUAUGAAAUGUAUUAUGAUUUUAAAUUGGGAAUUUCGAUCAUAUGAUUUAUUGAUCAUUGUGUAAGUGGAUUUUAGUUUAUAAUUUAUUAUAAUGACUUUGAAAUUUUGAUUAUUAGUGGUCUUGCUCAAUAGAGUAUAAAUUAUUAACCUUCGUUACCCUUGAUAGGGGGUAGUGAUGCUAUGCAAUCCUAACCAAUAAGAUGCUAUUAACCUUUGGUAUGCUAUUGAUUGAAUGUUGAUGGGGGAACAAAAUGAAGCUACCCAUCUAGUGCAAAUUCCAUUAUUUGGUUAUAGUGUUAUUAUCAGCGAAAUAGAGUAAAAUAUUUAUUUAUAAAAUCAUUUUGAACAUGAACUUCUACUAUUAAGUGUAUUAUAUUGUUUUAUACUUUUUGAAGUGUCAAUUUUUUUUCAAAAAAAAAAUGUAAACUUAAUUAUUAAAUUAAAUGAGUAGAUUUUUCUUAUUGACUUAUUUUUUCUUAUCGUGUUAAAUAUCGAAUUCACUCUUUUUUUAUAAUUCCACUUUUCAAUUACAAGUGAUGCCAAUGAAGAGAGAUUGUAAUAUAAUUAAGAGUGUUUUUAUUAUAAACAGUUUUGAAAUAGAUAUUGUUUAUGAUUAUUAACUUAAGACUAAUUGUAGUUGUAACUUCUAAAAAUUAAAUUUUAUAGAAUCAUUGAAGUCAUCGUUGAGAUAUUUUAAUUAUUUUUGGUUUUGCUAGUCAACUUAAUUUAUGUAUUAAGUUAUUGGAUUUGACAUGUGAAAUGGCUGUGAUGCUCUUAGCCUUCGGGUUCGAGGUAUCAGAGCCAUUGUCAUCACUUCACGGCCUUCCAACUGGGUAGGCUUGCUCGAAGUCACACCCUCAAAUCACUAGCAUGAAAGCUAGCUUUUACCUUGUUAGGUGAACCGGCUUAGGAAACUGUAAACUGAGAUCCAAUCAAUAAGCAAGAAGUUCAAUUAUUGAAGUUCUUAUUCAUUUGAGUGCUCUUCGACUACUUUAUGUAAAAAAUUUCAUGAAAGGGCCAAGAGGAUAUACAUAUGAUCAGGCAUGGAUGAUGCUUGGUGAUCCCAUACAGUACUCUCACGUGAUAUACGGGCCAAGGAUUAACGAGUAUUCUUGUAGUAAUAACGUUAAGAUAUGAACCCUAAUGGAAAUACUAACUAGAACACGCACGAAAGUAUUAAGCUAUGGUAUCCAUUAGCAUUGGCCAUUAGUUGAAGGUUGCAGUCCUCUAUAGAUCUCCAUUAAUGAUUCUUUUGUGUUAAAUUUAUAAAUGUUUUCUCCAUACUUUUGUGUCAUAUUGGUGGACCCUGGAAGAUCCGUCCUUACAACCAGCCAUAUCAGUAAGACAUUUUUAUUGGGUUUCUGGUAAAUAAAUAUUAGCAUAAAUUGGAAGGCGGUGGCUGUCCAUUUCUGCAGUGAUACACCAUUGUCUUUUUUAAGCUUUUAGUAUUUAAUAAAAUAUUCAAGCUUUUGUAAAUGGUUGAAUAACACUAUCAACAUGUGAUUCACAUGAGUUUAAUAUGUGAUUUCAACCAUGGCCAAUCAUGGGCAACCUAAACCUCAUUGGCCAUCUCCCCCACCGGUCCCUCCACAAACUGUCCCAAAAAUAUGGACAAAUAAUGGAGCUUCGAUUUGGGUCUUUCCCAGUUGUAGUGGCCUCAUCUUCAGAAAUGGAAAAGCAAUUCUUAAAGACAAACGAUCACCUCUUUGCCUCCAGGCCUCACACUGCUGCCGGAAAGUACACUAAUUAUAACUACUCCAACAUCACCUGGGCUCCUUACGGUCCAUACUGGCGCCAAGGGCGUAAAAUCUUCCUCACAGAGAUGUUCAGCUCGAAAAGGCUCGAGUCUUAUGAGUACAUUCGGGUUGAAGAAAGGCAGGCUUUCAUCUCCCGCCUCUACGCAUUGUCAGGAAAGCCAGUCAUGCUUAAAGAACAUCUCUCUCGCGUUACUCUCAGCGUUAUAAGCAGAAUUGUACUGGGGGAGAAGUACUUCAGUGAGUUCGAAUCCGGGAGGUCAAUGGUGACGGUGGAAGAGUGUCAGAAGAUGCUGGUUGAGUUGCUCUUGCUUAAUGGUGUGUUGAAUAUUGGGGAUUGGAUACCGUGGAUCGCAUUCUUGGACUUGCAGGGGUAUGUGAAGAGGAUGAAGGCUUUGCGCCAUAAAUUUGAUAGGUUUUAUGAUCAUGUGCUUGAGAAACACAGGGCCAGGAGAGAAGCAGAGGACUUUGUGGCUAGGACAUGGUGGAUAUGCUUCUGAGAUUGGCUGAUGAUCCUGAUAUUGAGGUUAAGCUCACUACUGAUGGGAUCAAAGGGUUUACACAGGUUAGUGUUAUAUGAGUUCAUGAACAUAUCCAACCAUUCAAAUUAGGCCUAUUCUAUUGAAACCUCGUGAUAAUUUUGCUUGUUUUGUUGUUUCAUGGUCAAGACCUAAUAGCUGGUGGUACAGAUACCUCAGCUACUACUCUGGAAUGGGCGAUGUCCGAGGUCUUGAGGCAGCCAAACAUAGCUAACAAGGCAACCGAAGAGCUGGAUAGAGUUAUAGGGAGAAAUAGAUGGGUGGAAGAGAAAGACAUUCCCCAACUUCCUUACAUAGAUGCAAUUGUGAAGGAGACAAUGAGGCUACACCCUGUUGCUGUCCUGCUUGCCCCUCACCUGGCUCUUCAGGACUGCCAUGUAGCUGGCUAUGAUAUUCGCAAAGGAACCCGAGUCCUAAUAAACACAUGGAGCAUAGGGCGGGACCCCAAUCUAUGGGAUGCACCUGAGGAAUUUUUCCCAGAGAGGUUCCUAGGGAAGGCAAUUGAUGUAAAGGGGCAAAACUUUGAGCUACUGCCAUUUGGUUCAGGGCGGAGGAUGUGUCCUGGCUACAGCCUUGCCCUAAAGAUGAUUGGAUCCAGCUUGGCUAACAUGUUGCAUGGAUUCCACUGGAAAUUGCCUGGAGAUAUGAAGCCAGAAGAGCUGAACAUUGAGGAAGUGUUUGGACUGACAACUCCAAGGAAGGUCCCACUUGUUGCUUUCAUGGAGCCUAGACUCCCAAGUCAUCUUUACUAGUCGUGCCUUAGACCUAUGUUUUCUUAAUAUUAUUCAGUUGUGUGCAAUGGUUUUAGUCUGUUAAUUCUAUUUCUCCUGUUCUCUAUCCAUGAAUGCAUUAGUGGCUUGCUCAAUUGAUAACAAACAUUACAAAAAUGAGGUUACGGUUAACAAAAGAUACACCUAAUGCCAAACUUUUCAAUUGUGUCGAUGGUGUAUAUGUCACUAAUGAUCUCAUUUCUUAGGACUUCAUUUUCUUUUCUCAUGUGGGGGAGGCAGCCAUGAAUCAGUCAGUUGCUUCAUUGUUAAUCAAAGAAAAUGAGGCGAAUUUGAAAGAAUUGAUUCAGAUAGCUAAAAUGUUCUCCUCAUAAGUAUUCAUACACUUUAUGCCUAAAAUGUGACCCACUAUGAAAUACAAGACAACCCUCAGUAAAUCUCUAUUCAUAAUAUGAUCUAUAGUUCUACCCACUUUUCUACCCUUCCUGCUUCUGGGAUGUAGGGAGAGUUUGGAUUGUUUAUGAGAUUCUGGCGUAGAGUGGUUUUGAAUAAGUGGUUGGGGAUUUUGGUGAUAUGAUCCUAUGCCUAUGGCCUCGACGGGAACUUUCUUUUUUGGGUUUCUUCUGUGCUUCUCCUUCUUCCUUUGUCUCCUUCUUAUGCAAGUCAUUUUUGCUUUGGACCGUGCACGCAAAGACCCCAACAGGAAUGUCAUGUGGGCCGAAGUGACUUGAGACUAAAUUGAGUUUGUGUCACUUGGUCCAACCCACUUAAGAUCCUAAUUAAUUAAUUAACUCUAAUGUGCUUAAAUAAAUUAACUAACCUAAUUCAGAAAGUAAGUUUAUAAGAUUUAGUGUAAUAUUACAUUUUUACCAGAAUACCUUUAUUGUACACUUAUGAAUUAUAUACCCAAAAUAUCCUUAAAGCAAGUGCCACAAUGAAACAGGAGCUCAAGUGAGGGCCACUUCUGAAGUUGACUCAACUACACUCAAAAUCCAAUUCUGGCUCCCUAAACUCAACUACUUUCAAAAUAUUGGUUCUUCAAAAUCCAAUUCUGAAGUUAGACUCAACAUUCCAUUCCAUUAAAAAAAGUUAACUACACUCUAGUAUCCUAUGAAAUUACAACGAUACAAAGCUUGAGUGUAUGACCUACUAUCUAUUACAUGCAAACUCCUCAUGAAUUGAUAUUUGUAAUAUAACAAAGAAUUUAGGUAAAGUCUCUAGAAAACUUUGAAUGGAAGAGUUUAAGUGUUGAUAAAUUUUAUUUAAAAUCGAAAAAUUAGGGAUAUGUACAAAUGUUUAGACGAGGUUUAUAUUUAAUAAAAAAUAAUAAAUAAAAAUAAAAAGCCUUUAAAGAACUUUGGUAUGAAGAGUUUAGGUGUUUAUAAAUUUUAUUUCAAAUAAAAAAAAUUAGGAAUAUAUACAAAUAUUUAGACGAGAUUCGUAUUGAAUUGAAAAGAGUACAUAAAAGCGGCAAUUAGCUAAAUGGUUAAUAUGGCUUGUUGCGUGUUUGGGUGUUGAAUGGAUGAAACCACAGACAAAUAAAAGGAAAAUAAAGAGGCAUGGUGGAGAGGAGGAAUAAAUUUUGGGGACAAUAAUAUAAUUAAAUAUACACACAAAUAGAUUUUUGAGAGUUUUAGGUUAGAUAAAUAAUUGAAAAAGGUAUAUUAUUAACGUAUUUGGUAAUGGAGUUGUAUACAAAUUGGGAAUUGCCUCCAUAUUAAAAUAAUAUUAAUGCAAGAGUAUUAAGAAUGCUAAAUAAUAAUUUUAGAUAAAUAGCGCAUCAAAAUUUUUUGAACUAUGUUAUGCCAGGUAAGUUCACUGUGGUCACGUGCUUUAAAAAUUCGACUGACUUUUAUUAUAUAAGAGUUAAUAGUGCAAUAAAUCAUUUUGUAAUUCCUAAUCAAUUUGUAAUUAAAGUAUUAAAAUAUUUAAAUUUUCUAAAGUGGAUCAAUUAAUAAUAUUCUUCUAAAAUGCGAUAUGAUUUGUUCUUUGGUUUUUGAAAUAAAUUAAAAAUAUCAUAUGAUUUAUUGAUUAUUAUGUGAGUGGAUUUUAGUUCUCAAUUUAUUAUAUAUAAUGACUUUGAAACUUUGGUUAUUGGUGGCGGAUAAAUUGUUGAUCUUCACUACCUUUGACGAGGGUAGUAAUGUAGUAUAACCCUAACCAGUAAGGAUGUUAUUAGCCUUGGUACACCAUAUAUUAAAAAUCAUUCCCUCCAUCAAUAAAAUGAAUAAAUUGAGGCUAACUACCUUACGUAAGUCUCACUAUUUGGAUAUAGUGAAUCAAAGUAAAAUAUUUAUUUAUGAAAUUAUUUUGAAUACGAACCAAUAAUGCAAGUGUAUUAUAUUAUUUUAUAUUUAAAUUGAAAGUGCCAAUUUUUUUUUUAAAGAAAUAUAUCUCAAAAGAUUUAAUGUUAUAUUAUAUUUUAGCCUCCUUGUUGAACUCUCCUAGAAAACUGUAGAGUGAGAUCGAAUCAAACGAGCAGGAAUUCAAUUAUUAAAAUACUUAUUCAUUAAUAAUGCAAGUGUAUUAUAUUAUUUUAUAUUUAAAUUGAAAGUGCCAAUUUUUUUUUAAAAGAAAUAUAUCUCAAAAGAUUUAAUGUUAUAUUAUAUUUUAGCCUCCUUGUUGAACUCUCCUAGAAAACUGUAGAGUGAGAUCGAAUCAAACGAGCAAGAAUUCAAUUAUUAAAAUACUUAUUCAUUUGGCUGUAUACAAAAAUUUCAUGGAAGGGCAAAGAAGAUGUAGAUAUGAUCAGGCAUGGAUGAUGGUGUUCCCAUACAGUACUCUCACGUGAUGAACGGGGCAAGGAUUAACUAGAACACAAAAGUAUUAAACUAUACAUACAAGAUCCGUUAGGGUUUUGGCCAUUGGCUGAAGAUUGCAGUCCUGUAUAGAUCUCCAUUGAUUCUUUUGUGAUAAAUUUACAAACGUUUUCUCCAUGCUUUUGUGUCAUUUUGGUGGACCCCGGAAGAUCCAUUAUUAAAACCAGCCAUAUCAGUAAGGAAUGAUAAUAUAUUUUGGAAGGUGGGUGUACGUCUAUUUCUGAAGUGAAAAAGGCACCAUUGUUUUUUAAUGUUUAAGCGUUUAAGUUAUGGUUGAUUAAUAUUAACAAAUACGAUUCACAUGAGAGUUGGGACUAAUAUGUGAUUUCCACAAUCUUAUUUGCUUAUAAAUAGUCCCCCAUUCCUCAAACUUACACCACCACCAUCACCACCAAUGGAGGCUCCUUCUUGUGUAGUUUUGGCCCUGGUGUGGCUAGCUGCAGCAGCCCUUCUCUCAAAACUUUUCAGUUUCCGGCCAGCCCACAAGCAAAACCUUCCACCAGGCCCCAAACCAUGGCGGAUCAUCGGCAACCUAAACCUCAUUGGCCAUCUCCCCCACCUGUCCCUCCACAAACUGUCCCAAAAAUAUGGACAAAUAAUGCAGCUUCAAUUCGGGUCCUUCCCAGUUGUAGUGGCCUCGUCUCCAGAAAUGGCAAGGCAGUUCUUAAAGACAAAUGAUCACCUCUUUGCCUCUAGGCCUCAGACUGCUGCUGGCAAGUACACUGCUUAUAACUACUCCAACAUCACCUGGGCACCUUACGGUCCAUGCUGGCGCCAGGGGCGUAAAAU
rnacentral:lncRNA from 1 species